rnacentral:tRNA from 1 species
GUUGGUAGACCAGGGGACUGAAAA